rnacentral:rRNA from 1 species
AGAACGAACGCUGGCGGCAGGCUUAACACAUGCAAGUCGAACGCCCCGCAAGGGGAGUGGCAGACGGGUGAGUAACGCGUGGGAAUCUACCUAGCUCUUCGGAAUAGCUCCGGGAAACUGGAAUUAAUACCGAGUACGCCCUACGGGGGAAAGAUUUAUCGGAGUUAGAUGAGCCCGCGUUGGAUUAGCUAGUUGGUGGGGUAACGCCUACCAAGGCGACGAUCCAUAGCUGGUCUGAGAGGAUGAUCAGCCACACUGGGACUGAGACACGGCCCAGACUCCUACGGGAGGCAGCAGUGGGGAAUAUUGGACAAUGGGCGCAAGCCUGAUCCAGCCAUGCCGCGUGAGUGAUGAAGGCCCUAGGGUUGUAAAGCUCUUCAGUAGGGAAGAAUAAUGACGGUACUACAGAAGAAGCCCGACUAACUCGUGCCAGCAGCCGC